rnacentral:rRNA from 1 species
UGGGGAAUAUUGCACAAUGGGGGGAACCCUGAUGCAGCCAUGCCGCGUGAAUGAAGAAGGCCUUCGGGUUGUAAAGUUCUUUCGGUGACGAGGAAGGUUGGUAGGUUAAUAGCCUAUCAAAUUGACGUUAAUCACAGAAGAAGCACCGGCUAACUCCGUGCCAGCAGCCGCGGUAAUACGGGGGGUGCGAGCGUUAAUCGGAAUAACUGGGCGUAAAGGGCACGCAGGCGGUGACUUAAGUGAGAUGUGAAAGCCCCGAGCUUAACCUGGGAAUUGCAUUUCAUACUGGGUCGCUAGAGUACUUUAGGGAGGGGUAGAAUUCCACGUGUAGCGGUGAAAUGCGUAGAGAUGUGGAGGAAUACCGAAGGCGAAGGCAGCCCCUUGGGAAUGUACUGACGCUCAUGUGCGAAAGCGUGGGGAGCAAACAGGAUUAGAUACCCUGGUAGUCCACGCUGUAAACGAUGUCGAUUUGGGGAUUGGGCUUUGAGCUUGGUGCCCGUAGCUAACGUGAUAAAUCGACCGCCUGGGGAGUACGGCCGCAAGGUUA